UUAUAUGAAAUUUUUUUAUAAUUCGUAUUUUCAUUGUUGUUAGAUGAUAAAACAUGAUUAAUAUUUUAUGCGUGACUUGUCUUUUUAUUUUUUUCAUAAUUUUUUCAAAUAAGACGGACGGUCAAAUGUUGAGCACGGAAACCAGGGUUUGUCUUUUU
rnacentral:pre_miRNA from 1 species